AGUACGGCGGAACACGAGAAAUUCCGUCGGAAUCCGCGGGGACCAUCCCGCAAGGCUAAAUACUCCCUAGUGACCGAUAGUGAACCAGUACCGUGAGGGAAAGGUGAAAAGCACCCCGGAAGGGGAGUGAAAUAGAUCCUGAAACCGUGUGCCUACAACAAGUCAAAGCUCGUUAAUGAGUGAUGGCGUGCCUUUUGUAGAAUGAACCGGCGAGUUACGAUUGCAUGCGAGGUUAAGUCGAAGAGACGGAGCCGCAGCGAAAGCGAGUCUGAAUAGGGCGAAUGAGUAUGUAGUCGUAGACCCGAAACCAUGUGAUCUACCCAUGUCCAGGUUGAAGGUGCGGUAAAACGCACUGGAGGACCGAACCCACGUACGUUGAAAAGUGCGGGGAUGAGGUGUGGGUAGCGGAGAAAUUCCAAACGAACUUGGAGAUAGCUGGUUCUCUCCGAAAUAGCUUUAGGGCUAGCCUCGGAAUUGAGAAUGAUGGAGGUAGAGCACUGUUUGGACUAGGGGCCCAUCUCGGGUUACCGAAUUCAGAUAAACUCCGAAUGCCAUUCAUUUAUAUCCGGGAGUCAGACUGCGAGUGAUAAGAUCCGUAGUCGAAAGGGAAACAGCCCAGACCACCAGCUAAGGUCCCAAAAUAUAUGUUAAGUGGAAAAGGAUGUGGGGUUGCACAGACAACUAGGAUGUUGGCUUAGAAGCAGCCACCAUUUAAAGAGUGCGUAAUAGCUCACUAGUCGAGUGACCCUGCGCCGAAAAUGUACCGGGGCUAAACAUAUUACCGAAGCUGUGGACUACACCAUUAGGUGUAGUGGUAGGAGAGCGUUCUAAGGGCGUUGAAGGUCGAUCGUGAGGACGGCUGGAGCGCUUAGAAGUGAGAAUGCCGGUAUGAGUAGCGAAAGACAGGUGAGAAUCCUGUCCACCGUAUGACUAAGGUUUCCUGGGGAAGGCUCGUCCGCCC
rnacentral:rRNA from 2 species